UUCCGGUUGAUCCUGCCAGACCCGACUGCUAUCAGAAUAGGACUAAGCCAUGCGAGUCAACGUAGCAAUACGUGGCAUACGGCUCAGUAACACGUAGUCAACAUGCCCAGGGGACGUGGAUAACCUCGGGAAACUGAGGAUAAACCGCGAUAGACCAUAAUGUCUGGAAUGAUUUAUGGUUCAAAUCUACAUGGCCCCUGGAUUGGACUGCGGCCGAUCAGGCUGUUGGUGAGGUAAUGGCCCACCAAACCUAAAACCGGUACGGGCUCUGAGAGGAGAAGCCCGGAGAUGGGCACUGAGAACAGGGCCCAGGCCCUAUGGGGCGCAGCAGGCGCGAAACCUCUGCAAUAAGCGAAAGCUUGACAGGGNUAUUCUGA
rnacentral:rRNA from 1 species